AGUGAACGCUGGCGGCAGGCCUAACACAUGCAAGUCGAGCGGCAGCGCGUCCGACCACCCUCGGGUGGUCGGAUGGCGGCGAGCGGCGGACGGGUGAGGAAUGCAUCGGAAUCUGCCUCGUUGUGGGGGAUAACGUAGGGAAACUUACGCUAAUACCGCAUACGACCUACGGGUGAAAGUGGGGGACCUUCGGGCCUCACGCGAUGAGAUGAGCCGAUGCCGGAUUAGCUAGUUGGCGGGGUAAGGCCCACCAAGGCGACGAUCCGUAGCUGGUCUGAGAGGAUGAUCAGCCACACUGGAACUGAGACACGGCCCAGACUCCUACGGGAGGCAGCAGUGGGGAAUCUUAGACAAUGGGCGCAAGCCUGAUCUAGCCAUGCCGCGUGAGCGAUGAAGGCCUUAGGGUUGUAAAGCUCUUUCAGUGGGGAAGAUAAUGACUGUACCCACAGAAGAAGCCCCGGCUAACUCCGUGCCAGCAGCCGCGGUAAAG
rnacentral:rRNA from 1 species